AAUUAUAUCCUAAUUCCUUGGUGUCAAAGUGGAGUAAAAAAAGUCAUGCUACUGUGUGAUGUUUAAGAGGACUGAACAGGGAAAUUCAUGAGUUGGUAUAUUCUGCAAAAAACGAUGUAUGAAUUUUGAAUCCAUCUUUGCAGCAAGCGAUGGAAAGAGAGGCGUCAGUAUCCUUUUGAUAGUGUUGAAAACCUUGAUACAGAUCCCUGAGCAAUUGUGAAAACUACUAUCAGCAAUAAAGUUUUAUAAAACUCAAAAAGGUAGGUGCAUCUUAAUCAAAACCAAGAAAACUUUCUUACCUUACCAGGAGGUGUAGCCGAUCUCUUUUUGCAUCAAUUGUAAUGCGCCAUUGAGUCUGCGCAACGACGUCAGGAGCGAGUUCAAUCGAGUUUAACCGAACUCAACCGAACUCCGAACGACUCCGAACUCAACCUCUCAUCUUGAGCUUCCAACAUCUCGCCUUCGCGACGCCCUUCACCUCAGAUUUUCCUGACAUGGUGCGUUAACUACUCCAUAAAUGCUGUGCUUUUCUUAUGUUUGUAUACUAGCAACAUAUUGACUUCUCAGCGUCACUCUUCUUUACUCUUCAGCGUUCUUCUUAUUUCCAAUAAUUAAUCGUGUUCAGGCAUGGCGGUCGCUUCUCCUAACAAUGUUUUGGCUUGAGGUUACCUCUUUAUGGAUGAAUGCUUCUCUUCUCCCUGGAUUCUUUUCAACCAGAUAUCUGAUUCUUCAGCUUGAAACAACAAACUUUCACAGGACAUCAUGUUCUUUGGCUAUACAGACUCUUGUGCUUUUACUGGAGGUAGGAAUCGAUCGAAAUAUGUCAUGGUCCGUGUCUGUUAGAAAAGAAUAAACUCGACAGGAAAUCGUUUUCUUUUCUGGAAUCUUACGCGCACUGAGUAUAAUAGAAACCCCUUAGGCUGUGAGGUCAGCAAUCAGGAAUUAGUCAUGAAACCACUGUUUGUCCCUGCUUGUGUUUUUACGGACGUGUACCACAAACGCAUCUGACGAAUAACCGGUAAGUAUGUCUUUUUCUUUCCUACUGCUUUAGUGAUUCCUGAUAACGUUAUUCUCUCUCCGAAAAAAAUUAUCAUUUUGAAAAACACUUUUGUUUUAAGUACCUCGUGACUCUUGGUGCCUCUAGAAUCCAUCAAUCAUGUUUCGUGCUUCAUGGAUUUGGAUGCCGCCUAUUUCUAUUUAGGGAAAACCUUUGAACUCUCCAGCCAAUAAAUCAUUGGUCACACUUCCAUUAUUUCAUAACAUCUUUACCAGAGUGAAAAAAUAUUAUCAUCUUUAUGUUCCUUUGAUCCUUUCUACUCUACUCACUGUCACACAUUUAUUUUAUUGUCCACCCUAAGAAUUUUGUUUUCACAACAUCUAGCCGAUAUGUUUCUUUCCUCUCAUCACCCAUGACGAUGUAAUGACAUUGUUGGUGGAAACUGGUUACAGGUUACUUUUGGGAGGAAAAGGAAUCAACAUUUCGUCACCUCAACUGAAAUUUCCUUUGAUUUAAACUUUUUUGAUUACGUUUACUCAAUUUUUCCCAAAGCUUCUAAGAAUUUCAGUCUGAAUGGCACGUUUUGAGUUCAGUGCAUACAUUCGUGACAAUCUUAUUUCCAUCUCUCUACAACGGCAUUCUAUCCUCAACAGUAACGGCUAGUAAUACUGAAACAAAUUACAGAGACCAAAAACAACUUUUCAACAACAGUCAAUUGGUCAGGAUCUGUAGAAAAGUUGAUCAAAACGAGUGAAAUCUCGAAAGCAGACGACCCCUCAAAGCUUUAUUUCUCAAAAGAAAAUGUUAAGAAAUAAUUACGUUCACAAAAUUGUACUUACCUGGCUGAAAUGAUGGUAAAGUCGUCCCUGCCACACAACAGCUAAGAAUGCUAAAUAACGAGAAAAUUCGCAGAAGUUAUAAUCAUGCGAUAGGUUCAUAACAAAGCAAAGGCCUACUGUGUAGGAAAGAAUGUUCCUGUGAAGAGGAAUUUUAAACAGAAUAAUUAAUGAAAUUUCUUUAGUUUUUUUCUGUCCAUUGAAACAACUGUAGGCAUUACAAGUACCUCUUAAGUGAAUGGUGAAUUGUUAUUUCUAUUUAAGCAGCUUGCACGCUCCCGUAAAAAUAACAGAAUACCUGAUCGCCGGCCACUUAUAAUCGAUAGGAUCUGGGUACAAGAUUAAGUUUCAUGUUAUACUACUGUAGACACUUUAAACAAGGAACUUGAUCAAUUCAUUGUAAUAUCCCUGAUUUUUAACUUUUCAAUAAGGAUAAGGCGAUGGAGCUGAAUUUGUGACAUUAGAGGAUGUCUUGAGGAAGUUGCAUAGGGGUUUUGACCGCGCGGAAUCUUGACGCGAACAUAGUUAGUGCUUAAAAAAUGUCAACAAACAAGACAAGCAUGGCAGCUCGAUCCGGUCGCAUGAUUUUUAUCUGAAAAGGUGUAUAUAUCAAUUCAGUUUUUGUCUGUUGGACUCAAGGGUUUCCAGCCACGAUAUCGAUAACAUCCAUAGGUCUUCUACCUUUCAAAAAUAAGUCGAAAGAUGGGAAACACGGGGGGAAAAAUUUUUUUAAAAAGUCGACAGAUUCGGAAGUUUACGCAUGCUCAUAUAUCGAUCUUGUUGAUGUUCCAUUUUGAUGAUCAUGACGUAAUUUUUGGGAGUAAAAAGAGAGAUCUUUCGAGUGAGAUUCGUCGCCUUUCGUUUCGUUUGCCGAUAAAUAAAAAAUAAAAAACUUGAAAGACUAAUUAUGAAUUAGAGGCAGAUAACAAAGAUUCGCAAAAAGUUGUGGCCCCCCCGCCUAUAAAGUAAUCAGCGUGACGAAUGCCACAUAUCGUGACAAACAUGGAAGAUUUCACCAGAGCAUAUCGGAAAAAUUAAAAUCAGCCAAACUACCGCAGAGGACCUUCGUCAACAUACUAUCUUUAGCCACAAGUGAGAGUACUAUCCUUCUCUCGGUUAUCCUUUGUGCUCGCUUUCGGGCGUAAUUUAGUAGGGCGUUUAAUUAGCAAAUCUACAAGAUAAAUCGUAAACAGCUGAAGUAACCUCGUAAAGGGAUGAAUUUGAAGUUAGGGCAACGGAACAUCUCUUGUAUGACCCCAUUAGGUUGAGGCGCCCUCUGUCGCAAUAUGGGAAAUCAAUCUAACAUGUUGUGCCUUUAUGUCAAACAGGAUAUUUCAAAAUUCAUUGUGUCAACGUCGUUGGAAGGAUUUGUAAGAAAUACAGGCCAUAAAAGAAUGGCUGCUUUGAUAAGAAAAUUCCAGGAAUAACUAUUUUUUGAUUCUAAUUCAUAAUCGGUGUUUGGGUUGCCAAGAAACUGAAUUUUUAGUCCUUAUUUUUUCAAACAUAAAAUAUUCGGCAGGACAAAUGUUACAUAUUGUGAGAGAUAUGGUAGAUUUCUAAGAACAAACACCUUUUUUGCUAAUGAAAACUACAGAAAACAACAGUUCAACUAUUAUUUAUUACAUAUUGCUAACUUUUAGAGAUCUUGCAGGUAGAAAACAUCACAAAUGUUCUAUGAAAACAUAACAUUUGCCGGCGCGUGCGUCGUAAUUAGGCUUUAACCUGACAGUCUGACACCUUAAGUGAAUUUUGUUCUUACUUCUUAUCUCAGCUGAGCGGAAACUUUUCUCAGGUCAUUUAUUCAGGUGAAAUCGACAGCUUUGUAUCAUUUAGGCUAAUAGUAGUUUCUGUAAUUUACAAUUAAAACAGUGAAUGUGAAAG
rnacentral:lncRNA from 1 species